rnacentral:rRNA from 1 species
UACGUAGGGUGCGAGCGUUGUCCGGAAUUAUUGGGCGUAAAGAGCGCGUAGGCGGUCCGGUAAGUCGGUUGUGAAAGUCGGGGGCUCAACCCUCGGAUGCCGGUGGAUACUGUCGGGCUUGAGUACGGAAGAGGCGAGUGGAAUUCCUGGUGUAGCGGUGAAAUGCGCAGAUAUCAGGAGGAACACCAAGUGCGAAGGCAGCUCGCUGGGACGUUACUGACGCUGAGACGCGAAAGCGUGGGGAGCAAACAGG